CCCACGCUGGCCCCGCCCCCACCGGCUGCCCACGCCGCGCAGGCGCCGCCCGGGGCCUGUUUCCCCGCAUCUCGGGUUCACCCGCAGCCCCCUCCGUGCACACCUGGCGCCCUUGCACCUGGCGUGGUCGCUGCUCGCCCGGCCAAAGCUGGCGUCCCCGGCCGGCUUGCAGCGCGCUCAGGAGCCCGACUGCGGCUGCUCCCCGCGGAGGUUUUCCUCGUUUCCUUCUCAGAGCGAGAGCUCUAGCAGAGGAGCUGACCCUGGUGGGAUCGUCAGGUAAAGGAGAUGGAGACCCUAGGCCUGAGUCGGGCCAAAAGGAAAGAGGUUAUAUCUCCUGAUUUAAAAAGUUUAAAGAAGGUUGGAAUCUUUUAAGGAAUAUGUUGUCAAUGAGAAGAGUUUUAAACAUCCAGAAUAAACUUUAAAAUCUCUGGUUUGCUUUCAAGGUAGGCUUAGGAGUAGCUUAACUGCUACUCACUUUGUGAUAAUACUGAAUGAAUAUUUGCUGUAUAUAAAGCUGGUACUAUGCAAGGAUUAUUUGCAUAGUACCAGCUUUAUAAAUAAAAGAGUAAAACCAACCCAUAAGAUUUGGGGGGUGGGGGCAGUAGCUACUGCCAUUGACCGAAUCCUGUGCGCCAGAGGUACCUUUUCUACAUGGGACAUAUGCUAGUGCAAAUUUCUGGGUCACUUUCCACAUCUCUGGGCUUUAUUUUAGAGCAUGGCAGUAUCACUAAGUUCUAUAGGGGCAGGGUCCAGGCUUGCACGCUCGGACCUUGUGCACACUCGAAGAGUUAGAAAAUAGUGAUCCUUUAAAAACACAGAACCAACAUUGACGUCUACCUUCCAAAUCAAAAUCAUUCGGUUCAAACAGACUGUCGUUUAAGAAAAUACACAAAACCCAUGUUUCUGAAAUAAUGCUGAUUCCUGAGUAAGAAGGGGGACUUGCAUUUGAUUCCCAGUCUAACUGCUUAGUAGAAUAAAUCCUGCACCAGCAACACUUGUAAAUUUGUGAAAAUGAAUUUUAUCUUUCCUUAAAAAAUAAAUUUUUUAAUCCAUCACACUUUCCUUCCCACCCUUUAGUUUUUGAUAAUGAUAAAAAUGAGCCAGUUAUCAAAGAAGAAAUAGUUCUUACUUCAAAAGAAACAUAAAUACAAAAAAUAAGUUGCUGGUUCCUAACAGGAAAAAUACAUUUUAAUAAUUGUGCGAUGAGAAGCUGCUUACGUACACAUUGCAGAUCAGAUAUUUGGAGUUAAGAUGUUAGUCCACAUAGACGGGUGAUUGUAAACUUUAUUGCCAUUAAAAGAUUUCAAUUGCAUUCAUGCUUCUGUGUACAUGUAAUGAAAAAUGGGCAAAAUAAUGAAGAUUGAUUUUUCCCUAAGUCGCUCUGUUUAAUUCUGCUGUCUACUCUUCUAUAAUGCUGCGUCUCUAAUUGUACACAGUUUAGUGAUCUCUAGGAGUACAGAAGUUGUCGCCCAUCAAUAAAAAUCACAAAGUUGGUUUAAAAAUAAAAUAAAAUAAAAACACAGAACCAAUGUAAGUGUGGAAGAGAGUGGAUGCUUACAAAACAGACUUUGUCUUCUUCCUGGGCACAGAAAUGAGAAUACUUUACCUGCCACCUUUUCUGUUUCCUUUGUAGUUAGCAUCCCCCAUGUGGAAAGGGAAGCAUGGUGCCCCUCUAAAGCAUUGAGAGGAAAGAGUCAAAUUAGUUCAAAGAGAAAACCCACGGAUUCCAAGAUCAUAAAAGUUAUUCUAGUUUCUUCUCACUUAAUCUGCAUGGAACAUGGCUUACAUAAAUUUCAGGUGAAAGCAGCACACUGCCCUAAAGAUAAAAUUGGCCCUUCUUAGUUGAGAGGGGAUGCCGUGGCGUGAAUUCAGAACAUCCUCCAGAACUCUCCCAGACAAAACAAACAGUGACUUCCAAAGCUUGUCUAGCUCUAAGCAUUUCACAGUUCUUUGAGAAGCUAGAAAUGUCUUAUGAUCACCCUAAAAGUGGAAAAUAAGAGCAGGAAGGAUGGAUGAUCUUUAGCAUAUUUUAUAACAUGAUCAUUAAUGCUCAAUUAAAACGAUGUGGUACUAGUGCUUGGCCAGGCAAACUGAUUCAGAAUAGAAAAUCCAGAAAUAGACAACAUGGGAAUUUUGUAUACCAUAAAGACAGCAUUUUUUUUUUUUAAAUAGGCUCCAUGCCCAGUGCAGAGCUCAAGGUGGGGCCCAAACCCAGGACCCUGAGAUAAAGACCUGAGCUGAAAUCAAGAGUUGGAUGCUCAACCGAGUGAGCCACUCAGGUGCCCCAAAGACAGCAUUUCUAACCAUUGGGAGUAAAGAUGGACUUCAUUAGUAUUGAGACAAUGGGAUAGUCAUUUGUAAAACAGCAUAUACUAGGAUAAACUCCAAAUAGAUUAAAGAUUGAUAUGUUAAGCCAAACAAAUCCAGGAGAAAAUACAGGUGAAUUCCUUUGAUUCUUGUCAUGGGAAAGACCCAUCUUAAUAUUGCCCAAAAUCCAAAAGCCAUGAAAGAAAAUACUGACACACACAUUCAGUUACAUAAAGAUAAGCCCAGGUAGCAAAACUUAUCAUCUUACAACUCUUGU
rnacentral:lncRNA from 1 species